rnacentral:rRNA from 1 species
UCGAGAAUUUUUCUCAAUGGGGGAAACCCUGAAGGAGCGACGCCGCGUGGAGGAUGAAGGUCUUCGGAUUGUAAACUCCUGUCAUUAGAGAACAAACUGCACGGAUUAACUGUCUGUGCACUGAUAGUAUCUGAAGAGGAAGAGACGGCUAACUCUGUGCCAGCAGCCGCGGUAAUACAGAGGUCUCAAGCGUUGUUCGGAUUCAUUGGGCGUAAAGGGUGCGUAGGUGGCAUGGUAAGUCGGAUGUGAAAUCCCGGGGCUCAACCCCGGAACUGCAUUCGAUACUGCUGAGCUAGAGUACUGGAGAGGAGAUUGGAAUUUACGGUGUAGCAGUGAAAUGCGUAGAUAUCGUAAGGAAGACCAGUGGCGAAGGCGGAUCUCUGGACAGUUACUGACACUGAGGCACGAAGGCCAGGGGAGCAAACGG